rnacentral:rRNA from 1 species
GGUUCGAUCCUGGCUCAGAUUGAACGCUGGCAGGAUGCUUUACACAUGCAAGUCGAACGGCAGCACGGACUUCGGUCUGGUGGCGAGUGGCGAACGGGUGAGUAAUGUAUCCGGAACGUGCUUACAAUGGCGGGGAUAACCACGCAAGCGUAGCUAAUACCACAUACGCCCUUCGAAAAGCGGGGGACAUCGGGCCUCACUAUUAAACGGCCGAUAUCGGAUUAGCUAGUUGGUGGGGUAACGGCUCGCAAGGCGACGAUCCGUAGCUGGUUUGAAGGACGGCCAUGCACACUGGGACUGGGAGCAGCCUUUGAACUCCUGCAGAGGCAGCAGUGAAAUUUUUGGACAGUAAGGGAAACCUGAUCCAGCCAUCCCGCGUGUGCGAUAAGAGGCCUUCCCGGGUUGUAAAGCACUUUUGUUAGGAAAGAAGCGGCCUGGGAUAAUACCCGUCACAACUGACGGCUACCUGCAGAAUAAGCACCGGCUAACUACGUGCCAGCGGCCGCCUUGCCGAGUAUACGUAAGUGCAAGCGUUAAUCAGGAUUACUGGGCGUAAAGCGUGCGCAGGCGGUUCGGGAAAGAAAGAUGUGGAAAUCGAGCUUAACUUUGGAACUGCAUUUUUAACUACCGAGGCUAGAGUGUGUCAGAGAGGUGGAAUUCCGCGUGUAACAGUGAAAUUGCGUAGAUAUGGAGAACACCGAUGGCGAAGGCAGCACCUCUGGGAUACGCAGCGCUCAUGCACGAAAGCGUGAGGCAAACAGGAUUAGAUACCCUGGUAGUCCACGCCUAAACGAUGUCAACUAGCUGUUGGGGCCUUCAGGCCUUGGUAGCGCAGCUAGCGGCGUGAAGUUAUUGCCGCAAAUUGCGGUCGCAAGAUUAAAACUCAAAGGAAUGACGAGGGACCCGCACAAGCGGUGGAUGAUGUGGAUUAAUUCGAUGCAACGCGAGCAUACUACCCUUGACAUCUAGAGUCGAAGAGAUUUGGGAGUGCUCGCAAGAACCGGAACACAGGUGCUGCAUGGCUGUCGUCAGCUCGUGUCGUGGAUGUUGGGUUAAGUCCGCAACGAGCGCAACCCUUGUCAUUAGUUGCUACGAAGGGCACUCUAAUGAGACUGCCGGUGACAAACCGGAGGAAGGUGGGGAUGACGUCGUCCUCAUGACACCAUGGGUAGGGCUUCCGCACGUCAUACAAUGGUCGGGACAGAGGGUCGCCAACCCGCGAGGGAGCCAAUCCCAGAAACCCGAUCGUAGUCGGAUCGCAGUCUGCAACUCGACUGCGUGAAGUCGGAAUCGCUGGUAAUCGCGGAUCAGCAUGUCGCGGUGAAUACGUUCCCGGGUCUUGUACACCGCCCGUCACACCAUGGGAGUGGGUUUGCCAGGAAGUAGUUGGCCUAACCGUAAGGGCGAUUACCACAGUGGGAUUCGCGACUGGGGGUGGAAGUCGUAACAAGGUAG